ensembl:lncRNA novel transcript
AAACAGUCUGUAGCUAUAGCCAAGGAGAAAUAUAGCCCCAGGGAUAUAGAUGGGAAAUGAAAUCACCUGGCCCCUGACUCAGUCCAUCUCCCAGGCUAACUGGGAGCUACUGGAUACAGGCAUCAGGAAGGUGAUGUGAAAGAUGCCGCAGGUGAAAGAGAAGAAGAACGCGGAGCACCUGAGCAGCUGUGGAGCCUCGGAUUCGUUGGAAGGCACAUUCUUGGAAGAAUAGCUCCUGUAAUGAGAUUGGGCACAUCCAGGCCAUCUUCUAUUUUACUGUCCGCAUAACACAAUCCAGGAAGUGAAAUCUCAGCAUGUUCACAGAUCCUAAGGACUCAACUAUGGAACCAUGGGGGCUGCCCAUAGAAACUCCACCUAUGCACAAGGGUGAUGUGCAUCAAGACUAAUUUUAUAGUAAUGAUAAGUCAUCACCUUUUUAUUAACACUAUGUUGCCACUUGCCCUUGGAAGCAGUCGCAGUGAAUUUGCCCAUCCCUUAGAAGCAAGAAUCAAGUUGGUAACACCAAACGAAACUCAAUGAAUUCUCCAUGGCCACAACCCAUGAUUCAAGAAAAUGCUAAAUGUCUUUGAUAAAGAGUCAAAAUGUAUCAAUUUAUUAAAUCUCAAUCCUUGCAUCCCAUCUUGUAAUACUGAAAAAUGAAAUGAGAAGUAUGCCUAAAGCAUUUGUCGCAAGGUAAAGCACUUACAGAACAGUUUGAGAGGCAAAUUGAACUGCCUGCUUUUUCAUGAAUACUUAACCGAAUGACCCAGUCGCUUAUUGCAGGAAUUCUUCUCAACAAAUUCCUCUCAACUUCUUGCAAAUAGCCAACUCUUUGUGGAUAGUCAAGACUCAUCUUUUACAUUUUAUUCUGCAGAAAGCCUCCUGUGAUGGUUAAUAUUGAGUGUUAACUUGAUUCGGCUGAAAGUAUGCAAAGUAUUGUUCCUGGGUAUGUCUGUGAGGGUGCUGUCAAAAGAGAUUAACAUUUGAGUCAGUGGACUGAGAGAGGCAGACCCACCAUUAAUCUGGGUGGGCACCAUCCCCUUGGCUGCCAGCAUGGUUAGAAAAAGCAGACAGAAGAAAGUGGAAUGAGCAGACUUGCUGAGUCUUCUGGCCUUCAUCUUUCUCCUGUGCUGGAUGCUUCCUGACCUGGAACAUCAGACUCCAAGUUCUUCAGCUUCUGGACUCUCGGACUUACACCAGUGAUUUGCCAGGGCAUCUUGGGCUCUUGGGCCUUCAGCCACAGACAGAAGGCUGCACUGCCAGCUUCCCUACUUUUGAGGUUUUGGGACUCAGACUGGCUUCCUUGCUCCUCAGCUUGCAGAUGGCCUAUUGUGGAAUUUCACCUUAUGAUCGCAUGAGUCAAUUCUCCUUAAUAAAUUCCCCUUCAUAUAUACAUCUAUCCUAUUAGUUCUGUCCCUCUAGAGAACCCCGACUAAUACGCCUCACAUUCUUCUUUCCCCAAACAGCAAAAGGCAUUUCUCUUCUGUGUUUUUUUUAGCAUAUUAUUUAUAAGUUAAAUCAUAGUACUUACCAUAAUGUGCUUUAAUUAUUGCGUGUUUGAAGGUCUACUCCACAGGACUGAAAAGUAUCUGGUGGUCUGGCCUGAUUUGCUUCAGGUACAGGAAUUAGAACUUUUCUAUGUCUAUACCAUCAAUGUCUAGCACUGUCCUCUCACUCCAUGUGGCAUGUACUUAAAAUAUGGCAUAAAAGGAUAAAUCUGAUUUUUGUAGAAUUUCCUAAUAGUGUGAAAAUGCUGGUGUGUAUGUUAUCAUACUGAAGAUAUGUUUCUUUCAUGACAGCUCUCAUUCUCAGAGGACUGUGAUGGUAUCAUGAUAUAUUUCUAAUGCUAUCUGUGGUAGUAAAGAUGUGUCAAAGAG